rnacentral:rRNA from 1 species
AUUGAACGCUGGCGGCAGGACUAACACAUGCAAGUCGAGCGGAUCGGGGGACGGGUAAGUAAUGGCUAGGAAUCUGCCUGGGAGUGGGGGAUAAGGUCCGCUAACGGAAGCUAAUACCGCUUCCUCUCGAUAGAGGCUAGGUCGGAUUAGCUAGGUGGUGGGGUAAAGGCUUACCAAGGCGACGAUCCGUAACUGGUCUGAGAGGAUGAUCAGCCACACUGGAACUGAGACACGGUCCAGACUCCUACGGGAGGCAGCAGUGGGGAAUAUUGGACAAUGGGCGAAAGCCUGAUCCAGCCAUGCCGCGUGUGUGAAGAAGGUCUUCGGAUUGUAAAGCACUUUAAGUGGGGAGGCGUUACCAGCAGAAGAAGCACCGGCUAACUCCGUGCCAGCAGCCGCGGUAAUAC